rnacentral:rRNA from 1 species
AUUGCACGCUGGUUGCAUGCUUUACACAUGCAAGUCAGACGGUAACAGGCCGCAAGGUGCUGACGAGUGGCGAACGGGUGAGUAAUGCAUCGGAACGUGCCCAGUCGGGGGGGAUAACGCAGCGAAAGUUGCGCUAAUACCGCAUACGAUCUAUGGAUGAACGCGGGGGACCGGAAGGCCUCGCGCGAUUGGAGCGGCCGAUGUCAGAUUAGGUAGUUGGUGGGGUAAAGGCUCACCAAGGCGACGAUCGGUAGCUGGACAGAGAGGACGACCGGGCACAACGGGCAUGAGACACGGCCAAGACCCACACGGGAGGCAGCAGUGGGGAAUUUUGGACAAUGGGCGCAAUCCUGAUCCAGCAAGGCCGCGUGCAGGAAGAAGGCCUUCGUGUUGUAAACUGCUUUUGUACUGAACGAAACGGUCCUGGUUAAUACCCGGGGUUAAUGGCGGUACCGUAAGAAUAAGCACCGGCUAACUACGUGCCAGCCGCCGCGGUAAAAC